GUUGGGAGCAUCCAGUCAUCAGAAGCAGAGCUGUGGGACGUGUGGACAGACAUUGACUGUAAUGAUGGACUUCUGCUGAUGGACGGAAGCAUAACCCCUGCUGGACAUCGUGGUGGGGUUCGGGGGGGACCCGACACGUCCCCAUCCCCUUCACACAUACAGCAUUCACUCGUAUCGCAGAGAUCUGACUGGGAUUGAACCAGCAACCUCUGAACCCGUGAGGCAGCGCUCUUACCUGUGAGCCACAGAUCUCUUGCUGAGACAUGUGCUGGAACUUAUAUUUCACUUUUGGAGCCCUAGUUUCCAAUAAAGCAGUUACCGUAAGAUUUGAUACCAAGUUUUAAUCACAGUCUAGUCCUCAGAGAGUGUGUGUUUAUCCACUCGCCCAUCAUGGAUUUCACCGCGACAGCUGUUUUUUUGGGUUCCUCGUCUAAUGAGAACUAUUGAAAGUCAGCAAUAGUGAGAUUUGAACUCAAGAUGCUGUGAACGAAACACAACUCUUUCUCUCCUGAGCCAUUGAGACUGCUGAGAUGAUGAUCGCUUUCAAUAGGUUUUAUCCAGAGCUUUGUGUUAAAUGGUGAAC